rnacentral:lncRNA from 10 species
UAAUAGCACCACAGAGGACUGGUACAAGGAUGAAGUGAUGGAAAACAUCUAGAACAUUCUAAGAGCAUCUAGCAAGUGCCUGAUAAAUGUUGGAUGCCUUGAUCUAGAGGGAAACCGGUGCUUUUCCCCAUUUAUCAUCCUCUUACAGAAGAAUUUCACUUGCAGCAACUUUGAACUGCCUCUGAACUCACUCAUGCUGCAGAAGAAUCCAUGCCUGUUUGUUGAUAUUUUGUUUUUCAUGCCUGAAGAGCACAACUGGAACAAACAAGAAGUUGGAGAGUAAGAUGCUUGCCAUAACAAAUCUGUCUGGCCUACAGUGCAUGCAAAUAUACUUGUAAGAAAAUUACCACCCCCAACUUCGCUCAAUGGGUGUCUUUGUUAUUGUACAAUUGUUAAAUGCAUUUCACAAUGAAGUUAUGUUAGAGUGUCAGGCCUCAAAUGGAGAUAAAGCAAUUCCUAAACAUAGUAGGUGGGUGUGAGUAGACAGCUAUUUCUUGUUCGAAUCACUACCACCAGCAUUAUCACUGAGAAGAAGAAUCAACAGGUCUCUUAGAGUGGAAACUGGGACCAGCCCCUCUCCUUCCUCCUGCCUGCACUCUCUGCCCAGGAGGUAGCAAGUUUGAAUCUAUUCUAAUGGCAUCCUUGAAAGGAUAUAAGCUUGUUUGGGGGAGCAAGGUCAGUCACCAUAACUCCAAC